AUGAACGCUGGCGGCGUGCUUAACACAUGCAAGUCGAACGAAGCACUUUAUUUGAUUUCCUUCGGGACUGAUUAUUUUGUGACUGAGUGGCGGACGGGUGAGUAACGCGUGGGUAACCUGCCUUGUACAGGGGGAUAACAGUUGGAAACGGCUGCUAAUACCGCAUAAGCGCACAGCAUCGCAUGAUGCAGUGUGAAAAACUCCGGUGGUAUAAGAUGGACCCGCGUUGGAUUAGCUAGUUGGUGAGGUAACGGCCCACCAAGGCGACGAUCCAUAGCCGACUGAGGGGGGGGCCCGCCCCAUUGGGGAUGGGGCACCGGCCCAAACCCCACGGGGGGGAAGAGGGGGGAAAAAUGCAAAAAGGGGGAAAACCCUGAGGCACGACCCCCGGGGGAGGGAAAAAGUAUUUGGGUUUUAAAAGCUCUAUCAGCAGGGAAGAAAAGGCCGGUACCGGAAUAAAAAGCACCGGCAAAAUACGG
rnacentral:rRNA from 1 species